GACAAUACAGCUCAGUGGUGGAGUGCAUGCUUAGCAUGCGUGAGGUCCUGGGUUCAAUCCCCAGUACUUCCA
rnacentral:tRNA from 1 species